rnacentral:tRNA from 2 species
GCGGGUAUAGCUCAGAUGGUUAGAGCGCAAGUUUGUGGCACUUGAGGUCGCGGAUUCGAGUUCCGUUACUCGCCCCA